UACGUAGGUGACCAGCGUUGUCCGGAUUUACUGGGCGUAAAGAGCGCGCAGGCGGUCGUUCAAGUCGAGUGUGAAAGCCCCCGGCUCAACUGGGGAGGGUCACUCGAUACUGAUCGACUUGAAGGCAGGAGAGGGAAGCGGAAUUCCCGGUGUAGUGGUGAAAUGCGUAGAUAUCGAGAGGAACACCUGCGGCGAAGGCGGGUUGCUGGGCUGAUACUGACGCUGAGGCGCGAAAGCUAGGGGAGCGAACGGG
rnacentral:rRNA from 1 species